rnacentral:lncRNA from 1 species
UUUCUUUCAUUAUAUAAUAGUAUAGGUGAGCUAAAGUAUGAGGAGAAUAUGUACAUAUAUAGUGACUACUGCCAAAAAAAGUUGAUACAUUAUUGAUAUUUUGUAAAUGGUAAUAGAUAUAAGAAUAAUCGUUUCUUAUAGCUUAUCUUGUAAUUUUUGUGUGUAGUUUAUAGCCUUGAAUGCUUUAUAAAUGGAUUCUUACAUGACUGUGAAUUUGUGACAUGAAUUAUACAUAUUUCAAUGAUGAACAUAAGUUGCUAAAGCCUAUAUGGCUGGAACCAAAGUUAACUAGAAAUGUAAUAAGUGGUUUGGAAGUGUGGAGAAAUUUCCAAUGAUAAAUUUUUGUUAACAAUGAUUGAAAAUAUGCAUUCAUGUGAUAUGGAUGGAGGAUAGUAAUUGAAAUGAGUGGUUUUAGGUGAUAUUGGAAUUUCCUGAUGCAUAUGCUGAGUUCUUUCCAAAGAAAAAAGCAAAAAAAAGGAAAAGGAAAAAAAAAAACAAGAAAAAAAAAAAAUUUGGGCCCGGGGGAAAAAAAAAUUUUAAGGGAGUUUUUGAUCGAUCACGUGUGGCAUUGAAGAAAUUUCUUUCCAGGGUUCGAAAGGAGGUCUGCUGACUGUCAAAAGCAGAUUAAAGACAAAUUUGUGUGGUGGCAGGAUGAAAGGCAGGAUUCUCCAGUCAGUGUGUGCUAUUCGAAAGUAUCGAAAGCGCUUAAUGCAGGUAUCAUUUGGCAGCGGAGGUGCAAGCAAGAGAUGGAUAUGUUAUGGAAGAUUCGAGUUCCUAGCAGAAUCAGUAGUAUUUGGGUGUAGAAUGUUCCAGAACAGAUUACCUACAAACAUGACUGAAAAGACGCUUUGGUCAUUUCGGGAAGCCAUAGCUAGUUUGUCCCUUUUGGUUUUCAGAUGAGAGACAAUAGAAACAUCUGUUUGUGCGUUGCUCAUUUGCUGUUCAGUGCUUGGGAUGGAAUUGUUGACUGGCUUGAAAUGGAAGUUCCUGUUAUGAAUCUUCCUUUAGCAGCGCAUAGUAGUGUAAUUCCCUAAGAGCUUCAGAUCCGAGGCAGAAAUUGAAGGAACUGUUUGGCUGGCCUCUUGUUGGGCAUUGUGGCUUGUAGGAGGAAUGAGAUCUCUUCCAAGGGGGUUAAAAAUGUGGAUGUUGUUGUUAGGAAUGUAUGCUCCUGUCUUGGCACUGUGGUUUGAGUCGAACGCAUUGGGGUAUGGUUCCUGCGCUGGACGGAUUGGAUAGUCAAUCCUGUUUUGUUUAGCAAAGGAUCAUAAUUGUAAUCUCCUACGCAUAGCUCAGUGGAAAGAUUAAUCUGAAAGAACCUGUGUCUUCAAACAUAUGACCUUUAAGAUUGAAUUGAUGUGUCGGAGUAAAGUGUCUGCAACGGCAGCUAGUGGGGAUAAAUUGAUUAUGGCACUAUAAAACAUGGGUCAUCUCAACUUUAUGAGAACAAUCAAUCAUUUGAAGAAGGAGAAAACAUGAUUUAGGUUUACCUUGAAAUCAAAUUUCUAGUGAAAUGUGUGAAGAAUGUUUGCAGGCCAAGCAACAUAAGAAAUCAGUUUCAGUAAGGAUGCAGAAACAACUCAGAGCAUCUCUUGAAGUUAUAUACCUGGCGUUUUUGUAUUUACCAAGUGGAUUCAAUUGGAGGUAAAUGAAGCACUCUGUUACGAUUUAUAGAUUAUUUUAGCAUAAAAUUGAGCAUACUUGAUUAAAAGAAAAGUAAUGUGAUUGAUUGUGCUCACUUAAAUUCAAAUUUAUGGUGGAAAAGGCAAAAAUGGUCACAAGAUCAAGAUAAUUAAAGAAUGGAUGGUGGAUGAGAAUAGUAGCCCUCAUCAUUUUGAUGCAUUAUGUCCAAAGAGAAGUAAUUGUUCAUAAGGUGGUGUCAUCAUCACACCUCAACAAAUAGGCCUAGACAGGGAGAAAAAAUAAGGAUCAAUCAUGAACAGGUGAAAAGUACGUUGAAGACAAGCAUCUACCUAAUGAAUAUGGGGUGAGAUUUGUGUCCCCACUGUGUAUACUAUAAUUUUUACCCUAUGUUUUUCAUUAGCAUACAACAUAUCAUGAUCAUUCCAUUUGAUCAUGGCAUCCCAUCCAAGUCAUAGACUUCAUCAGGGUUUCAGUGAAAAAUCAGGGUUUUGACAUUUCAUUUGAUCUCAUUUAGCAUGACAUUCAUUCAUGCCAUAGACUAGGAAUCAAAGAGUAUUCCCUAGUCUCAUGUUGUCCUUUCAUAUUUUACAUCAGGUCUCAAAUAAGACUUAGAUAAUUCAUAGUUCCAAAAGUACUAUUAGUCAUGAAUCUUUGUGAGUUUGUUUGUUUUAGUAAUCAAUAUUUAAAUGUAAUAGCCCAAAGAGUUAGUCAGUUCACAUUUAUUUUCUCUAGACAAUUAUUCAUUGAUCAUUGUCAUCCAUCAAAUUUUCAUUAGAUUGGAAGUUUAUGUCAAGGAACUUGAACCUUUUUUGCUUGAGUUUUUGUUACUAAAGUUCAUUUGCAUUGCAUUUUUAAUUUUUAUGCAUCAUUAGCACCUAGUAGGGAAUGAGACAAAAGUCAAGGAAGGUUUGACUUUUUAAUCUUUUCCCCCUUAUUUUAUUCCUAAUUUCAUCUCAUCUGUUGAUUUGUUUUAAUAAUAUAAACAACGUUAUUUGCAUAAAUAAUUGAAACUUUUAUUGGAAUUUUUGUUUUGCAUUCAUAUUAGUGUACUUAGUAACAUUUCAUAUCAUUAACAUACAUAUUAAUUUACAUAUGUGCCUCUUUUCAUCAAUAUGCAUAAAGUCAAUAAAAGCACAAAAAAGAGAAAGGAAGUCAGCUCAUUUGUCAGUCAAGUCAUGUCGUGUGAGCUAAAGCUACAUCAAGUCCUUGUCCUUGCAAACCGUCGCCAUCCCACUUCUCAAGCUAUCCCUAAGUUUCCUCCAUUUGAGUUGUCUUUUAAUCAAAUCCUUCUCAAAGCAUGGUUAUCUCCCUUUGAAUCUUCAUCCAAGCAUUUACAUCAUAUGCCACAAUAAAGACAAAAAGGAGAAUGAGAUAAUUUCUAUUAGAGCAAUCAAGAUGGGGGCCAACAAAUUUAUGCCAUGCAUUGGUAUUACAAUUCAUCUGAAAUUUCACAAAACUCAACAAUGUAUGAUGCAUACAAAAAAUUUCAUUCACAGACUCCAAAUAUUUCACUAACGUGUCAGCUACCCUAUAUAAAUCAGCAAUUGUUUCAUUCAAGAAGACAACACAUUUUCAUUUAGAGUCACUCUGCAAAAUCUUCAUAGGCCGGUUCGCCUUAUAUAUUAUUUCCCUAUAAUGAAUUAAUCUAUGUGGAGCUUAAAGCUCAUAUUUCUCUGUUGAGUUACUUAGCCAUAAUUCACACAUCGUCAAAUCCUCACACUAAAAGCUCAAAGCAAACAUUAAUUUAACUCUGACUUUCACUUUGGAAAUCAGAGUGAGACUAAAACUGCAAUUAACACAAGUCUAACCAACAACAAUAUUACACACAUCACAUACAAUAGCACAUAGAGCAAAGAUCAAGAGAAAGAGAAAAAGGAGAGCGAGACGAAAUCUGAAGCAUAAAGAGAAGAGGAAACACAUUUGGUUUUUGAGGGUUUAGGGUUUAAGUUUUUAGGUUUCUAAGUGAUAUCUAGGUAGGGAUGAAUUUCCGGUUGAAAGUCCACCAGAGUUUCAUGUUGUUUAAAGGUGGCUCAGGGAGGUUUCUGGGUUAGGAUGAACUUUCUGGUUGAAGUUCAACCGGAGUUCAUAUUGUUCAUCGGCUAUGGUGGUUGGGUGAGGGCGGUAUGUUUUUUGGGGGAGGCCGAAGGUGGUGAUCAAAUAAUCUCUCCUCUCUCUCUCUCUUCUCUCCCUCUCUCAUCCUCUCUCUCUGGUUUGAGUAUUUAAACUCUCUCAUAAGGGUUGUUCCAUCUGUGGAGACUUGGCACCCAUGCAGGUUGUUCCAGCCUAACUCUCUUCCUGCAUGUCCCACUCCAAUGUAACCCUUACACCCUAAUGAUUUGCCCUUUGAUCUGCUUGACCACUUCAAGUAUGUUGCAUCUUUGCUUCAGGAGAGAGUCCAACUAAUUGACUCUCCUUGGGCUUUUCGGAUUGGGUCCUAGGUCCACAACUAACUUUUCCGCCCCCCUGUGUUCUUUUGCAUUUACGAUUUGCCCUGGUUCUAUUUUUGGCAAUAACCCAUUUUUUAUCUUUAAUUGUUUUUUACUAUUUAUUUUCCAUAUUUUGGUUUAAUUUGUGAAAUAUAUUUAAUAGAUUAUUUAGUUUAAUUGGUCAUUAAUUAAAUUUAAAUUAAUUAAUUUUUAAAUGAUUUAAUUUUAUUAAAUUAAUUCGUAUUACUUAAUUAAAUUAGACCUGGUUUUAUUUUACCUCUCUUGUUAUGUUUUGAUUAUUAUCAUAAUACUUCUCAUUUCAAUUUUGUAAUUCAUUAAUCAUCUUGAUUAUGUUUGUUAGCAAUUUGUUUAAAUGACUAACAAAUUAAUUGAUGAAUAAAAAAAUUACAUUAUUUUGUUCGUAAACCUUUUUAAAAAUGAUUGAAACCCUUGGCCCAACACCAAGAGUGUUUUUUGAAAAAACUGGUCAACACCAAUGAUUUUUCUCCCCAAAUCGUUUCCACAUUCCCGUUUCCUACGCGAAUCAAACCUCGAUCACUCGAGCGCUUUUUCCAUUUGAAAGUCAAAACAUUAGUCAUAUCUUGAACACCAAUUUUACAGGUUGAAAAUGGAGAUAGCUAUGAGCCUUUGAUCUCCUCCUCCUCGAUUGUUUGGAUACAAUCUCCCUUACUCGAGCCAUUUGGAGAAAUCGUCAUCCCUAUAAAAACUUCUAAUGUAAUUCAUCUCAAACCACUUUCAUAAUCAAUUCUAAUCAAACUCAGUUUUCAUAAACAACUUGGACGAAAAGGAAGUGUCUAGAGCCUUCUAUUCUCUUCCCCGAAUACUUGGAUACGAGUUUCCUUAAUCGCCGUUCGAGUAUUCAUCGUCAUCUGACCACAAUCAUUAACAUUACUCAAAAUCCUUUUUAUAAUUAAAGGAUGAAAAGGAGAUGGUCCUAGAACCUUAUAUUCCUCUUCUCGAUAUUCGGAUACGAGUUGCCUACUCUUCGAGUUAAUCAUCAUCCAAAAAAAAUAUUCAACAAAUCAAACCUUAUUUUACCCAUUACGUGACUUCGGAAAACCUUUUCAGAAACGAGUAUGCUUUAAUCCAUAAUCAAUGUUGAAACAAACAAAUGCUUCUGACUCUAAAGAGAGAAGCUAAGCAGGUUUAAACCACUUCGAUAUAUCUAAAGACAUACUCCUGAAAAGUAACCAACAAACAGUUCUUUUUCUAUAAAACAACAAACCCUACGUACCUUUCAGUUCUCCAUCUCACCUAGAGAUACUAGGAAUGGGAUUUUGAAAUCUAGUCAGGCACAUUAAUAAAAAAAAACCUAAAAAUCUUUUCUUUUCUUUUCUCUCGCUCAAUAAGUCAAAGAAACAAUUAAAAUUCGCUAACAUUCAAUUGCAAGUUUUAACUUAUAGGUUCUCGUUGAUACAACGGCGUGAGGGGUACUAAUACCACCUUCCCCUUACGAUAAAUCGACUACCAAACCCGAAUUGGUUGCGAAGGACCAUUUUUAUUUUCUCUUACGAAUUUUAUUCGAUAUUUUCUCUUUCCUUUAUAGGAAUAAAAUAAAGUUAUAUAUGUGGUGACUCCCUGUUCGAAUCAAAUUUUCUGCGAGCGUGUGAACGCUUACGAAAGGAUAAUAUUUUCGAAUACGAGAACUGCAACCUUCAGGCCUGGCGAAUGGGGAAGCAUUAAUCUCGAACCUGCUGGGGAAUAACCAUCCGAACCCUGCUAGGGAGGCCACAGACCUUGAAUCUGUUGGGGGAUUGUCAUUCCACUCUGCUUGGAAAGAUGAGGAAAAAUCUGUAGCUGACACACCGUCGAUUCGCCGAACCUUGGUAUUCAAUAUCAAUUCCCAAUAUCAGCUUUCCACUUUUGGAGAGUUCCCAGACUCGUCUGGACCUUUUUCUGCCUCUAUUCAUCUGGUAUUUCCAACGCGCUCCGCACUCGACGGAGAGCGAACCCCUGGGUGUACACAGACUUUUCAUUUUUCAGACUUUGAAGGGUCUUCUUGAUUAAAUUUCCACGGAUCAUUCGUACGCCUGCGCCGUCUUUUCACCGUUCUUCUUAUCAUUCGUCCCUGAUUGGACUCAUGGGGAUCGUCUCGUCCAAGAGCUUCACAUCCCAACCUGCAAGUGAGGGGAAAUAUCUAACAGUACCUGCAAAAGAGAUCGUUAGAUAAAACCGUGCCCCAGGCGUGUCAAGAUUCAACAAUUGGGUCACUCCCACUUCCGAAUAAGAUUCAAGCUUUCAAUCUAUAAAGCAUCAUUGGAAGGGACCUGUAUGUUUAAACCUGCAAAAUUCUUUAUCAAAAAAAUAACCUGGAUUUUUUGCAAUCAAAGCGGUAAUGAAAAAGCAAAAACAAAAUUAUUUGACUGAAUAAUGCAUUUUUAUUGAUUGAAAAAGUGGUGGCUCACCAUUGAGCAAUACAAAGGAAGCAAUUCUGAAAAGAGGUAAUUGCGGCACAAAAAGAAAAAUCUAUCCUAAUGGAAAUGUUGAAACCUGCGAUCUCAUCGAGUUCCAACUCGGUUAACACCCCUAGUGUCAUCAGAAAUCUCCAGUGCUUUCUGCCUUCUGAACAAGACGCUUCCGACUGAUCCCUACCGGGUUAUCCAUGAUGCUGUUAACGCAAAGCACAAACGAUCAAUGCCAGAGCGCAGUUGUUCGUCAAUCCCUCUUUGCCUGACCGCCCUAUUUCCGGUUUUCAAGUCCACCGGGAUACCCUUUUUUUGCCCAAAGUCGCCCUUUCAGGUUUUCGACUUGCGGUUGUACAGUUUUUUUUCAUUUUAAUCCCUACUUUUUGCCCUGAACAUUUUCUUUUCUUUGUUUUUCGGUUCGCCGGGAUGCCCUUUUUUGCUGGACUAUUUGUAUUCUUUUCGUCCAGCGGGUCUUAUUUAUACGAGUAUUUUUUAACUGCGUCCGCAAUUCAAACCAGGGGAUGAAAAUCCUCGCCAUCACAUGGUCAUUAGGCACAAGGCUCCGCCAGAGAAACCUUCUUGACCACGAAUGGACCUUCAUAAUUGGGUGUCCAUUUUGCCCCUACGAUCGUUUUGAGGCCGGAAGAUCCUUUCAAGCACCAUAUCACCUAACGUGAUAUAACACCCGAGCUCGUACCUUUUUUUAUCAAAGCACGCCUUCAUCCGCUGCUGGAUAACUUGCCCAUGACAGAUGGCUGCUAAGCCUCUUCUCUUCAAUAAGGCUCAACUCCUUCAUACCGGGUCCUUACCCAUGUCAGCCUCUGCACAUUUAGUCAAAUAAUUUUGUUUUUGUUUUUCAUUACCGCUUUGAUUGCAAAAACAUCCAGGUUAUUUUUGAUAAAGAAUUUUGCAUUUUAAGACAUACAGGUCCCUUCCAAUGCAUGCUUAUAAGAUUGAAGCUUGAAAUCUUAUUCGGAAGGUUGAGUGACCCAAUUGUUGAAAUCUUGACACGCCUGGGGCACGGUUUUAUCUAACGAUCUCUUUUGCAGGUACUGUUAGAUAUUUCCCCUCACUUGCAGGUUGUGAUGUGGAAGCUCUUGGACGAGACGAUCCCCAUGGAGUCCAAUCAGGGACGAAUGAAUAGAAGAACGGUGAAAAGACGGCGAGGCGUACGAUGAUCCGUGGAAAUUAAUCAAGAAGACCCUUCAAAGUCUGAAAAUUGAAAAGUCUGUGUAAAUCCCAGGGGUUCGCUCUCCGUCGAGUGCGGAGCGGUUGGGAAUACCAGAUGAUAGAGCAGAAAAGGUCCAGACGAGUCUGGGAACUCUCAAAAGUGGAAAGCUGAUAUUGGAAUUGGAUAUUGAAUACCAAGGUUCGGCGAAUCGACGGGUGUUCAGUACCAGAUUUUCCUCAUCUUUCCAAGCAGAGUCUAGGUCCAGACGAGUCUGGGAACUCUCAAAAGUGGAAAGCUGAUAUUGGAAUUGGAUAUUGAAUACCAAGGUUCGGCGAAUCGACGGGUGUUCAGUACCAGAUUUUCCUCAUCUUUCCAAGCAGAGUCAGAAUGACUAAUCCCCCAACAGAUUCAAGGUCUGUGGCCUCCCUAGCAGGGUUCGGAUGGUUAUCCCCAGCAGGUUCGAGAUUAAUGCUUCCCCAGUCGCCAGGCCUGAAGGUUGCAAGUUUCCCAGCGGAAGUAUCUGUGUGCGGUGGUUCCUCAAGCGGAGUCAGGAUUGAUAUCCCCAGCAAGUCAAAGACAGUUGUAUCCCCACAGAGUGCAUGGGUGGUGCUUCCCCAGCAAUGUCCCCAGGCGGAUUGGGUGCAAAGGAGGUUUUCCCCAGCAGGGGUUGCUUUUCUCAGCAGCAGUGCUAUUCCCCAGCAGGGUGGAAUCGGAGUGUUGACGAGUUCCUCAGCAGAGUAUCUCGAGCUCCCCAGACGAGUCCCUUGAGGGGGAUGCCUUUUUAUACAUUCAUCAUGAAAAAUAGCAUGGCAUAUUGCAUAAAUAAAUCGCGUAGCAUUUCCAUAAUUAUGGAGCAUUACGCUGAAAAAAUAUCAUGCAUCAUAUUGCAAGCAUAAGCUAGUCUCAAGCCGUGGUUAUUGUUUGAGAGGUGGUUUUGCCCAAAGGUGAAGGUGUUACUCUGAGGAGUUUAGCAUAGGUCCAGACGAGUCUGGGAACUCUCAAAAGUGGAAAGCUGAUAUUGGAAUUGGAUAUUGAAUACCAAGGUUCGGCGAAUCGACGGGUGUUCAGUACCAGAUUUUCCUCAUCUUUCCAAGCAGAGUCGGAAUGACUAAUCCCCCAACAGAUUCAAGGUCUGUGGCCUCCCUAGCAGGGUUCGGAUGGUUAUCCCCAGCAGGUUCGAGAUUAAUGCUUCCCCAUUCGCCAGGCCUGAAGGUUGCAAGUUCUCGUAUUUCGAAAAAUAUUAUCCUUCGUGAAGCGUUCACACGCUCGCAGAAAAUUGAUUCGAACAGAGUCACCACAUAUAUAACUUUAUUUAUUCCUAUAAAGGAAAGAGAAAAUAUCGAUAAAAUUCUUAAGAGAAAAAUAAAAAUGGUCUUCGCAACCAAAUUCGGGUUUGGUAGUCGAUUAUGUAAGGGGAAGGUAUUAGUACCCCUCACGUCCGUUGUAUUCAACGAGAACCUAUAAGUUAAACUUGCAAUUGAAUGUUAGCGAAUUUUAAUUGUUUUCUUUGACUUAUUGAGCGAGAGAAAAGAAAGAAAAGAUUUUUAGGUUUUUUUUUAUUAAUGUGCCUGACUAGAUUUCAAAAUCCCAUUCCUACGUAUCUCUAGGUGAGAUGGAGAACUAAAGGAUACGUAGUUCUUUAUAGAAAAGAACUGUUUGUUGGUUACUUUUCAGGAGUGAUUCUUUAGAUAUAUCGAGUGGUUAAACCUUUGCUUACUUCUCUCUCUUAGAGUCAGAAGCAUUUGUUUGUUUCACAUUGAUAUGGAUAAAGCAUACUCGUUUCUGAAAAGGUUUCCGAAGUCACGUAAUGGCGUAAAAUAAGUUUGAUUUGUUGAAUAUUUUUUUGGAUGAUGAUUACUCGAAGAGUAAGGCAACUCGUAUCCGAAUAAUCGAGAAGAGGAAUAUAAGGUUCUAGACCAUCUCCUUUUCAUCCUUAAUUAUAAAAGGAUUUAGGUAAUGUUAAUGUAUUGUGGAUGGACGAUGAAUACUCGAACGGUCGAUUAAGGAAACUCGUAUCCAAGUAUUCGGGGAAGAGAAUAGAAGGCUCUAGACCACUUCCUUUUUCGUCCAAGUUGUUAUGAAAACGAGUUUGAUUAGAAUUGAUUAUGAAAGUGGUUUGAGAUGAAUUACAUUAGAAGUUUUUAAUGGAUGACGAUUUCUCAAAUGGUCGAGUAAGGGAGAUUGUAUCCAAACAAUCGAGGAGAGGAAUCAAAGGCUCUAGACUAUCUCCAUUUUCAACCUGUAAAAUGGUGUUCAAGUAUGACUAAAUGUUUUGACUUCAAAUGGAAAAAGCGCUCGAUGUUGAUCGAGGUUUUUAUUCGCGUAGAAACGGAAUGUGGAAACGAUUUGGGAGAAAAAUCACUUGGUGUUGGACCAAGGUUUUUCAAAAACACUCUUGGUGUUGGGCCAAGGGUUUCAAUCAUUUUUAAAAAGUUUACUAACAAAAUUAAUGUAAUUUUUUUUAUUCAUCAAUUAAUUUGUUAGUCAUUUAAACAAAUGCUAACAAACAUAAUCAAGAUGAUAAUGAAUACAAAUUGAAAUGAGAAGUAUUAUGAUAAAUAAUCAAAACAUAACAAGAGAGUAAAAUAAAACCAGGUCUAAUUAAUUAAGUUAAUAAGAAUUAAUUAAUAAAAUUAAUCAAUUUUAAAAUUAAUUAAUUAAAUUAAUUAAUGACAAUUAACUAAAUUAAUCUAUUAAAAUAUAUUUCACAAAUUAAACCAAAAUAUGAGAAAUAAAUAGUAAAAAACAAUAAAGAUAAAAAAAUGGGUUAUUGCCAAAAAUAGAACCAAGGCCAAAUCGUAAAUGCAAAAGAAAACAGGGGGCGAAAAGUAGUUGUGGACGCUAGCCCAAUCCUGAAAAAGCCCCAAAGAGAGAGUCAAAUAGUUGACUCUCUCCUGAACGCAAGAUGCACAUACUUGAAGUGGUCAAGCAGAUCAAAGGGCAAAUCAUAGGGUGUAGGGUACAUUGGAGUGGGGAACAUGCAGGGAAGAGAGUUAGGUGACAACCUGCAUGGGUGCCAAGUCUCCACAGAUGGACAACCCUAUGAGAGAGUUUAAAUACUCAAACUCAGAGAGAGAGAGAGAGAGAGAGAGAGAGAGAGAGAGAGAGAGAUUAUUUGAUCACCACCUUCGGCCUCCCCCAAAAAACAUAUCCGCCCUCACAACCACCAUAGCCCGAUGAACAAUAUGAACUCCGGUUGAACUUCAACCAGAAAGUUCAUCCUAACCCAGAAACCUCCCUGAGCCACCUUUAAACAACAUGAACUCUGGUUGGACUUCAACCGGAAAGUUCAUCCCUACCUAGAUAUCACUUAGAAACCUAAAAACUUAAACCCUAAACCCUCAAAACCAAAUUGUUUCCUCUUCUUCUUUAUGCUUCAGAUUUCGUCUCGCUCUCCUUUUUCUCUUUCUUCUUGGAUUUUGCUCUAUGUGCUAUUGUAUGUGAUGUUGUGUAAUAUUGUUGUUGGUUAGACUUGUGUAAUUGCAAGUUUUAGCUAUUCUCACUCUGAAUUUCAAAGUGAAAGUCAGAGUAGAAUUAAUGUUUGCUUGAGCUUUUAGUGUGAGGAUUUGACGAUGGUGAAUUAUGGUGAAGUAACUCAACAGAAAAUAUGUAGCUUUAAGCUCACAUAGAUUAAUUCAUAUAGGGAAAUAAUAUAUAAGCGAACCGGGCCUAAUGAGAUUUCUGCAGAGUGACUCUAAUGGAAAAAUGUGUGUCUUCUUGAAUGAAACAAUUGCUUGAUUUAUAUAGGGUAGCUGACACGUAUGAAAUAUUUGGAAGUCUGUGAAUGAAAUUUUGCUAUGCAUCAUACAUGUGAGUUUGUGAAAUUUCAGAUGAAUUGUAAUACCAAUGCAUGCAUAAAUUUGUGGCCCCCAUCUGAUUUUCUCUAAUAGAAAUUAUCCUCAUUCUCCUUUUUGUCUUAUUGUGCAUAUGAGUAAAUGGCUUGGAUGAAGUUCAAAGGAGAUAACAUGGCUUUGAGAAGGAUUUGAUUAAAGACAACUCAAAUGGAGGAAACUUAGGGAUAGCUUGAGAAGUUGAUGGCGAGGUUGCAAGGACAAGGACUUGAUGUAGCUUAGCUCACACGAAUGACUUGACUUGGACAAAUGGAGCUGACUUCCUUUCUCUUUUUUGUGCUUUUUAUUGACUUUAUGCAUAUUGAUGUAAUAAGAGGCACAUAUGUAAUGUAAUAUGUAUGUAAUGAUAUGAAAUGUUUACUAAGUACACUAAUAUGAAUGCAAAACAAAAAUUCCAAUAAAAGUUUCAAUUAUUUAAUUGCAAAUAACGUUGUUUAUUAUUAUUAAAACAAAUCAAAGAUGAGAUGAAAUUAGGAAUAAAAAGGGAAAAGAUAAAAAGUCAACCUUCUUGACUUUUGUCUCAUUCCCUACUAGGUGCUAAUGGAUGCAUAAAAAUAAAAUGCAAUGCAAAUGAACUUAGUAACAAAACUCAAGCAAAAGGUUCAAGUCUUGACAUAUAACUUCCAAUCUAAUGAAAUAUUGAUGGAUGACAAUGAUGCAGAUGAAUAAUGUCUAGAGAAAAUAAAUGUGAACUGACUAACUCUUGGGCUAAUUACAUUUAAAUAUUUGAUUACUAAAACAAACAAAAACUCACAAAGAUUCAGAUGACUAAUAGUACUCUUGACUAUGAAUUAUCUAAGUCUUUGAGACCUGAUGUAAAAAUAUGAAAGACAACAUGAGACUAGGGAAUACUCUUGAUUCCUUAGUCUAUGGAUGAAUGAAUGUCAUGCUAAUGAGAUCAAAUGAAAUGUCAAAACCCUGAUUUUUCACUGAAACCCUGAUGAAUGUCUAUGCUUGAUGGGAUGCAUGAUCAAAUGGAAUGAUCAUGAUAUGUUGAUGCUAAUGAAAAACAUAGGGUAAAAUUUAGAGUAUGACACAGUGGACACAAUCUCACCCCAUAAUUCAUUAGGUAGAUGCUUGUCCUUCAACGUACUUUUCACCAUGUUCAUGAUGAUCCUAUUUUUUCUCCCUGUAGGCCUAUUUUGUUGAGGUGUGUAUGAUGACACCACCUUAUGAACAAUUACUUCUCUUUGACAUAAUGCAUCAAAAUGAUAGGGCUACUAUUCUCAUCCACCAUCCAUUCUUAAUAUCUUGAUCUUGUGACCAUUUUGCCUUUCCACCAUAAAUUUGAAUUUAGUGAGCACAUCAAUCACAUUACUUUUCUUUUUAAUCAAGUAUGCUCAAAUUUUAUGCUAAAAUAAUCUAUAAAUGUAACAGAGUGCUUAUUACCUCCAAUUGAAUCCACUUGGUAAUACAAAAACGCCAGAGUAUAUAACUUCAAGAGAUGCUCUAGAGUUGUUUCUGCAUCCUUACUGAAACUAUUCUUAUGUUGCUUGGCCUGCAAACAUUCUUCACACAUUUCACUAGAAAUUUGAAUUUCAGGUAAACCUGAAAUCAUGUUCUCCUUCUUCAAAUGAUUGAUGUCUCUAAAGUUGAGAUGACCAUGUUUAUAGUGCCAUAAUCAAUUAUCCCCACUAGCUGCCGUUGCUAGACACUUUUACUCCGACACAUCAAAUUCAAUCUUAAAGGUCAUAUUUUGAGACACAGGUUCUUUCAAGAUUAAUCUUCCACUUGAGCUAUGCGUAGGAGAUUACAAAUUAUGAUCCUUUGCUAAACAGAAAACAGGAUUGACUAUCCAAUCCGUCCAAGCGCAGGAACCAUACCCCCAAUGGUUCGACUCAAACCAAGUGCCAAGACAGGAGCAUAACAUUCCUAACAACAACAUCCACAUUUUUAACCCCCUUGGAAGAGAAUCUCAUUCCUCUACAGCCACAAUGCCCAACAAGAGGCCAGCCAAAACAGUCCUUCAAUUCUGCCUCGAAUCUAAGCUCUUAGGGAAUACACUACUAUGCGCUGCUAAAGAAGAUUCCAUAACAGGAACUUCCAUUUCAAGCCAGUCAACAAUUCCAUCCCAGCACUGAACAGCAAAUGAGCAACUCACAAACAGAUGUUCUAUUGUCUCUUCAUCUGCAAAACAAAAGGGACAAACUAGGCUAUGGCUUCCCGAAAUGACAAAGCGUCUUUUCAGUUCCUGCUUUGUAGGUAAUCUGUUCUGGAACAUUCUACACCCAAAUACUCUGAUUCUGCUAGGAACUUCGAUCUUCCAUAACAUAUCCAUCUCUGCUUGCACCUCCGCUGCCAAAUGAAUACCUGCAUUAAGCGCUUUCGAUACUUUCGAAUAGCACACACUGACUGAGAAUCCUGCUUCAUCCUGCCACCACACAAAUUUGUCUUUAAUCUGCUUCUGACAGUCAGCAGACCUCCUUCGAACCCUGGAAGAAAUUUCUCACUGCCACACGUUAUCGAUCCAAACUCCUAAAUCCGCAAUCUUUCCUUCUGCUUCUGAGAACUCAGCAUAUGCAUCAGGAAAUUCCAAUAUCACCUAAAACCACUCAUUUCCAAUUACUAUCCUCCAUCAUAUUCACAUGAAUGCAUAUUUCAAUCAUUGUAUAACAAAAAUUUAUCAUUGGAAAUUCUCACACUUCCAAACACUUGUACAUUUCUAGUUAACUUGGUUCAGCCAUAUAGGCUUUAGCAACUUAUGUUCAGUCAUUGAAAUAUGUAUAUUCAUGUCACAAAUUCACAGUCAUAAGAAUCCAUUAUAAAGCAAUUCAAGGCUAUAAACUACACACAAAAAUUACAAGAUAAGCUAUAAGAUAACGAUAUUCUUAUAUCUAUUACCAAUUACAAACAUAUCAAUAAUGUAUCAACUUUUUUGGCAGUAGUCACUAUAUAUGUGACAUAUUCAUCCUCAUACUUAGCUCACUAUACUAUAUCAUAAUGAAAGAAAGUAAAUUAUACAUUAAUAUCAUCAUAGUUUUAAAUUGUAGUCUGCAAUAUGUUUAUAAUCAAGGAGAAGAUUUUGUUGAGGAAGUAGGGGGUGAGCCAGGGCUAUGAGGAGGUGGGAAUAGUGGAGGAAAAGGAAAUGGUAAAAUUGAUUUUGGUGGUGGCGGCGGCGGUGGUGAUGGAGUGAUACCUGGUACUACUAUUGGUGGAAAGAGAGAGAAAGGUGGUGGACUUGAUGGUGGAGGCUGAAAUGGAUUUGGAAGGAGUGGUGGAGGACUUGAAGGAGGAGGUUGAAAUGGAUUAGGUAGAAAUGGUGGUGGACUUGGUGGUUGAAAUGGAUUUGGAAUCAAAGGUGGACUAGGUGGUUGAAAAGGAUUAGGAAUCAAUGGUGGUGGUGUAAAAGGGUUAGGAAUCAAAGGUGGUUGAAAUGGAUUAGGAACCAAAGGUGGAUUCAAAGGGUUUGGAGGAAAAAAGAAAAAAUCUUCAACUUCAUUUUUCUUAGGGUUUUGAGUACUAUGCUUAUUUUGGUCACAAAAUUUUGGCUUUUUUAUUGGCUUGAAUGAGAAAAAUCCAGCUGAAAAAAUGUGUUCAUCUUGCAACUUUUUCUUUAGGGUUAGUGAAAAUGAAGUGGAAGUUGAAGCAAUAGCACAAUUUGGUUCAUUGCUACUUAACAACUUGAAGUUACACCCUUUGAUUCUCUUCACAUUUUUUCUCACUAAGAAAGGUAGCUUUACUUUGAAUUCUCCUUGUUCAUUAGUCUUCACUUCUUUGUAGAAUCUUUGUUUUGUUUUUCCUAGUUUGCAUUCAACAGCUAUUGAUGCACCUAUACAUUUUGGACAAGGUUUUAGAAAUUUUUAUAACAUGAUAUAAAAUAUAGAUCAGAUACAUUAACUAUUACUUAUAAUAGUGAUUGAUUGGAGGGUGAAUUACCUGAAAUGAAGCGGCUUUCUUGAGAGAAAGUUUGUUGAAAACAUGUGUCACAAAAGACAGUGCCAACUACAGAAGGCGAAGGAUGAAGCUUCUUGUUGACAUGUUUUGCUU